rnacentral:tRNA from 1 species
GCGCGAGUAGCUCAACGGAUAGAGCAUCUGACUUCGGAUCAGAAGGUUGGGGGUUCGAGUCCCUCCGCGCGCAC